CGGGAGGGAAGAUGGAAUGGGGUAACCCAUUCGGACGGUACCUCCAGAAGCAGCCACGGCUAACUUCGUGCCAGCAGCCGCGGUAAUACGAAGGUGGCAAGCGUUAUUCGGAUUUACUGGGCGUACAGGGAGCGUAGGCGGUUCGGUAAGCCCUUUGUGAAAUCUCCAGGCUUAACCUGGAAAAGUCGGAGGGGACUGCCGGGCUAGAGGACGGGAGAGGAGCGAAUUAUUCCGGGUGUAGGGGUAAAAUGUGUAGAUAUGGGGAAGAAGGCCUGUGGAGAAGGGGGCGCUGUGGAAAGUUUCUGACGCUGAGGCUCGAAAGCGUGGGGGGCACACAGGAUUAGAUACCCUGGUAGUCCACGCCUUAAACUAUGAAUACUAAGUGUCGGCGGGUUACCGCGG
rnacentral:rRNA from 1 species